rnacentral:tRNA from 3 species
CGAAAUCGGUAGACGCUACGGACUUAAAAUCCGUCGAUUUUAGAAAUCGUGA